AGUGAACGCUGGCGGUAGGCCUAACACAUGCAAGUCGAACGGCAACACAGUAAGAGCUUGCUCUUACGGGUGGCGAGUGGCGGACGGGUGCGGAAUACAUCGGAAUCUACUUUUUAGUGGGGGAUAACGUAGGGAAACUUACGCUAAUACCGCAUACGACAUACGGGUGAAAGCAGGGGAUCUUCGGACCUUGCGCGAUUGAAUGAGCCGAUGUCGGGUUAGCUAGUUGGCGGGGUAAAGGCCUACCAAGGCGACGAUCCGUAGCUGGUCUGAGAGGACGACCAGCCACACUGGGACUGAGACACGGCCCAGACUCCUACGGGAGGCAGCAGUGGGGAAUUUUGGACAAUGGGCGCAAGCCUGAUCCAGCAAUGCCGCGUGCGGGAAGAAGGCCUUCGGGUUGUAAAACGCUUUUGGCAGGAACGAAACGGUGUCCGCUAAUACCGGGCGCUAAUGACGGUACCUGCAGAAUAAGCACCGGCUAACUACGUG
rnacentral:rRNA from 1 species